GCCUCAUGAAGCAAAUUCAGCAAAGCUCUUGAGUAAAGACACUAAAGACCCCAAAGCACCGACCACAGAUGGAAGGGAUAACGGAGAACUGGAGUACACAUGGGAGCUGAGGGAGUUGCAAAUGCCCUGAAACUGUCAAGACAUCAAAGAUCCUAGAGAAGAGAAAGAUGCUGUCUCUGUGAGAAACUACAUUCCAGAAAAAGGAAAGGGAAAAAGUUGCUAAACCCACCGACAGACAAGAGGGGUUUACACCAGUGCCGAUGAAGCCUCAAACACAUCACUAACAGGUGAGAGUCCAGCAGGACCGCCCUUCCCACCAGGAAUCCACGGAAAAC